rnacentral:rRNA from 1 species
CAGCAGCCGCGGUAAUACAGAGGGUGCGAGCGUUAAUCGGAUUUACUGGGCGUAAAGCGUGCGUAGGCGGCUUCUUAAGUCGGAUGUGAAAUCCCUGAGCUUAACUUAGGAAUUGCAUUCGAUACUGGGAAGCUAGAGUAUGGGAGAGGAUGGUAGAAUUCCAGGUUUAGCGGUGAAAUGCGUAGAGAUCUGGAGGAAUACCGAUGGCGAAGGCAGCCAUCUGGCCUAAUACUGACGCUGAGGUACGAAAGCAUGGGGAGCAAACAGGAUUAGAUACCCCAGUAGUCCCUGUCUCUUAUAC